rnacentral:tRNA from 1 species
GGGAGUGUAGCUUAAUUGGUUAGAGCAUACGACUAUCCAUUGUAAUGCAAGAGUUCGAGUCUCUUCUCUCCUGCCGCA